rnacentral:lncRNA from 1 species
UAGAUUGCUAUUGCUUCGGAUUAGGAUUUGCUCAGUCUUGUGAUGUGCAUACAAUUAUACAUUGGAUUUUGACAUGUCAAUAUGAUUUCGCCGAAAAUUUGUUGUUGAUAGCGAUUCUUUUUGUUGAUGAUGUUCAUCGAUGAUGACAAUUCGAAGGCUUGUUUCUCAAAGAACAUUCGCAGUGGCCGCCUAAGAGCUUUCGCCUUCGCCAGGCUUGAGAGCUGAUGCUGCUAUAUUCCUUCCUUGGAUGUCUGAGACCUUGCCAUCCUGUACUUGCUAUGUUUCAUAACGCAGAUUGCUAUUGCUUCAGAUUAGGAUUUGCUCAGUCUUGUGAUGUGCAUACAAUUAUACAUUGGUUAUUGACAUGUCAUUAUGAUUUUGCUGAAAAUUUGUUGUUGAUAGCGAUUCCUUUCGUUGAUGAUGUUCAUCGAUGAUGACAAUUCGAAGGCUUGUUUCUCAAAGAACAUUCGCAGUGGCCGCCUAAGAGCUUUCGCCUUCGCCAGGCUUGAGAGCUGAUGCUGCUAUAUUCCUUCCUUGGAUGUCUGAGACCUUGCCAUCCUGUACUUGCUAUGUUUCAUAACGUAGAUUGCUAUUGCUUCAGAUUAGGAUUUGCUCAGUCCUGUGAUGUGCAUACAAUUAUACAUUGGUUGUUGACAUGUCAUUAUGAUUUUGCCGAAAAUUUGUUGUUGAUAGCAGAUUCCUUUUGUUGAUGAUGUUCAUCAAUGAUGACAAUUCGAAGGCUUGUUUCUCAAAGAACAUUCGCAGUGGCCGCCUAAGAGCUUUCGCCUUCGCCAGGCUUGAGAGCUGAUGCUGCUAUAUUCCUUCCUUGGAUGUCUGAGAC